rnacentral:rRNA from 1 species
AACUUUAGUACGAGAGGAUUGGGUUGGACGCACCCCUGGUGUGCCAGUUGGACCGCUCGGUCCAUAGCUGGGUAGCUACGUGCGGCAGGGAUAAUCGCUGAAAGCAUCUAAGCGAGAAGCCCACCCGGAGAUAAGUGUUGCUUUGAGACCCCUUGAAGACUACAAGGUUGAUAGGCCACAUGUGUAAGCGGAGAAAUCCGUUCAGCUAAGUGGUACUAACGGUCAAAGACUUUG